rnacentral:rRNA from 1 species
GACGAACGCUGGCGGCGUGCCUAAUACAUGCAAGUUGAGCGCUGAAGGUUGGUACUUGUACCAACUGGAUGAGCAGCGAACGGGUGAGUAACGCGUGGGGAAUCUGCCUUUGAGCGGGGGACAACAUUUGGAAACGAAUGCUAAUACCGCAUAAAAACUUUAAACACAAGUUUUAAGUUUGAAAGAUGCAAUUGCAUCACUCAAAGAUGAUCCCGCGUUGUAUUAGCUAGUUGGUGAGGGAAAGGCUCACCAAGGCGAUGAUACAUAGCCGACCUGAGAGGGUGAGCGGCCACAUUGGGACUGAGACACGGCCCAAACUCCUACGGGAGGCAGCAGUAGGGAAUCUUCGGCAAUGGACGAAAGUCUGACCGAGCAACGCCGCGGGAGUGAAGAAGGUUUUCGGAUCGUAAAACUCUGUUGGUAGAGAAGAACGUUGGUGAGAGUGGAAAGCUCAUCAAGUGACGGUAACUACCCAGAAAGGGACGGCUAACUACGUG